GAUGAACGCUGGCGGCGUGCUUAACACAUGCAAGUCGAACGGCAAGGCCAGUGCUUGCACUGGUACUCGAGUGGCGAACGGGUGAGUAACACGUGGGUGUUCUGCCCUGCACUUUGGGAUAAGCCUGGGAAACUGGGUCUACUCCCGGAUAGGACACUGGCUUGGAUGCCGUUGUGGAAAGUUUUUUCGUUGUGGGGUGUGCUUGCGGCCUAUCAGGUUGUUGGAGGCGUAAUGGCCUACCAAGGCGUCGACGGGUAGCCGGCCUGUGAGAGUGUAGGGCCGGAUCAGAAUUGUGAGACAGGCCAGACUGCGACAUAUGGGAGCAGUGGGGAAUAUUGCACAAAGGGCUCAAGCGUGAGGCAGCGAGGCCGCGGGGGUGAAGAGGGCUUUCGUGUUGAAAACAACUCACGCGGGUAACAAAGCGUAGUUGUGACGGUACCUAGAGAAUAAGCACCGGCUAACUACGUG
rnacentral:rRNA from 1 species